rnacentral:rRNA from 1 species
CAGGACAACCCGCUGAACUUAAGCAUAUCACUAAGCGGAGGAAAAGAAACUAACCAGGAUUGCCUCAGUAACUGCGAGUGAACCGGCACCAGCCCAGCCUGUGAAUCGCGCAAGCGACUUGUGGAGUGGAGACUUGUCCCUGACCCUGCUGGUGUGAGUGUAACUUGGUUGGAAUGCCAGGCCGCAGAGGGUGCAAGCCCCGUGCCGCUCACGCUGCAGACAAGGGAGAGUUCGAAGAGUCGGGUAGUUCGGGACUGCUGCCCUAAGUGGGAGAUAGACUUCUUCCAAGGCUAAAUAACGACGAGAGACCGAUAGCGAACAAGUACUGUGAAGGAAAGAUGCAAAGCACUUUGAAAAGAGAGUUAAAAGACUUGAAAUCGCUGAGGAGGAAGCAGUGGGACGUCGGCUCGACUGAGUGGAAACUUGGCUAAGGCCCUGUGGGAGCUCAGUCAUAGCAACACCUGCGAGGUCGGAGCUGCGAGGAACUAGUUUGGUCCUCUCCAGGCCGAGAUCAACGCAAGUGUUGUGCGGCGUCUCACUGGCCCGUCUUGAAACACGGACCAAGGAGUCUAACAUGUGUGCGAGUAGUCGG